CCUACGGGAGGCAGCAGUGAGGAAUAUUGGUCAAUGGGCGCGAGCCUGAACCAGCCAAGUAGCGUGAAGGAUUAAUGCCCUACGGGUUGUAAACUUCUUUUAUCAAGGAAUAGAGUGCGGCACGUGUGCCUGUUUGUAUGUACUUUAUGAAUAAGGAUCGGCUAACGCCGUGCCAGCAGCCGCGGGAAUACGGAGGAUCCGAGCCGUAUCCGGAUUUAUUGGGUUUAAAGGGAGCGUAGAUGGGUUGUUCAGUCAGUUGGGAAAGUUUGCGGCCCAACCGUAAAAGUGCAAUUGAUACUGGCAGCCUUGAGUACAGUUGAGGUAGGCGGAAUGCGUGGUGUAGCGGUGAAAUGCUUAGAUAUCACGAAGAACUCCGAUUGCGAAGGCAGCUUACCAAACUGCCACUGACAUUGAGGCUCGAAAGUGUGGGUAUCAAACAGGAUUAGAUACCCGAGUAGUC
rnacentral:rRNA from 1 species